CGGCAUUCACUAAGUUGAAAAAAGCCGUUUCAGCUGUUUGUGAGCAACCUGAAAUCAAUGGUAUGCAGUCAAUAUUUUGGAAUUUUGCUGAGGCCCAUGUUUGAAGAAUGCAGAGGCUGUGAAGUUAGCGUGAAGGAAGGAGACCCCUAUCUCCUGGGGAGCCUACAGCAGGAAUUCUCAGGAAAAACAGCUGAGUUCAAGGUGACAGACCUGCAGUCUUCCCUGCUAAAGUCCUUGAAAAUGACAAAGGAAAAGGACUGUAGCUUCUUGUCACUCAAAGCAUGAUCCAGAUCCCACAGCACGGACGUCACCUUUGAACUUGGUAGAAAUGCAGAAGCUCAGACUCCUGUCCAGACGUAUGACUCAGAACCUGCAUUUUUAACUAGAUCCCAGGCCCAGUGGAAGUACGAAGGGACACGAAGGGGCACAUUCUUCUCUCCCGCCCCCGCCAUUCCCCAGUCCUCAUUCCAGCCAGCAGGACACGUGACAAGGCUCUGUGCAGGCUUCUUGGCCAUGGUUUCUGUUUCUCUUUGUCACAGAAAAGCUGGAAACUUGGAAUUUUAUGAAAAAAAAUCUUCAGAUUUUUAAAUGUUGGCAGCUAAUUCAAAAAACUUAAAAGCCCUGAUGGCCAAGUAAGACAUAUCCAGAACCCAGAGUUGGCCCGUUGACCUGGAGACAUGCCCCCUGUUCUAAACAGCCCUUUUGGGUUGUGAAGAUUCCACAAGCCAUGGUGACUAACCUAAACGAUCUCACUCCACCUUUGGAGCUGGGAGAAAAGAUGAGAAAAUUGAGGCAUAGAGACGUUCAACAAUCUUCCCAAGGUCACACAGUCCGUAAGAGGAGCCGGCAUUUGAACCCAGACAAUCGAAAUCCAGAGUUCAAGCUCAUAACCAUUACACUCUUCUUAUAAAUAUGGAAAGCCAAAAAAAAAGUUUCAGAAAAAUUAUGUUUUAAAUUUUUAUUUAUUAUUUUUUAUUGAGGCGUAUCAGAAAAAUUAUUUAAAACAUUUCUAUGCAUGAAGGUCUUCAAAGUUAUUCCCGCCUGAAGUAAUCCUUUAACAUCUGGACAAAUAUCCAAGAGACAGUUGAACAUCCCAGAGGUGCUCAGUAGUUCUUUGGGCCAGGCAAUUUUUUUAGUGCAGGCUCACAGGGAGAGAAGGCUUUUGCUGAAAGCUACGGACAGAUUAUGGAUUGGCCUGGGUGUGAGUGCAGAGGCGCAAGAGGACCUGGUCUGAAAACUCUUCUCCUGUGAGAAGAGAGUCAGUGGGAGAGAAAGCGGACCAGAGGCAAUCAACCAGAGAGAGAGCAGUGAACAACAAUGGGCCAUGUAUCACACAGAAAGAUGCUGCUAAAGACAGCCUUCCCCUGGAAUCAGCAUUCAGCAAAAACUUUAAUUAGCUCAAGGCACUCCCACCCGGUAGUAUGUUCCAGAAUCUUGGUGCGAGGACAUUUGUAAUUUGCAAAAGUAAGUUCAAUAUUACAAGAUAAUUUUAUUUUUGGAAGGCAAACAAACAAAAGGAACCUCUAUUGUUUUAUACCAUAAACUAAAGGAAAUAAAGUUAGAUAAAAUCUUCCUGGCUGUGGGAUGUACAAAUGUUCUG
rnacentral:lncRNA from 1 species